rnacentral:tRNA from 2 species
CGGGGUGUAGCGCAGUUUGGUAGCGCGCCUGCUUUGGGAGCAGGAUGUCGGGGGUUCAAAUCCCUCCACCCCGA